rnacentral:rRNA from 1 species
UACGUAGGGCGCAAGCGUUGUCCGGAAUUAUUGGACGUAAAGAGCUCGUAGGCGGCCUGUUGCGUCCGCUGUGAAAUCCCGGGGCUCAACCCCGGGCGUGCAGUGGAUACGGGCUGGCUGGAGGCAGGCAGGGGAGAACGGAAUUCCUGGUGUAGCGGUGAAAUGCGCAGAUAUCAGGAGGAACACCGGUGGCGAAGGCGGUUCUCUGGGCCUGUACUGACGCUGAGGAGCGAAAGCGUGGGGAGCGAACAGG